AUAGGGGAGCCGGAGGGAAACCGAGUCUUAACCGGGCGUUAAGUUGCAGGGUAUAGACCCGAAACCCGGUGAUCUAGCCAUGGGCAGGUUGAAGGUUGGGUAACACUAACUGGAGGACCGAACCGACUAAUGUUGAAAAAUUAGCGGAUGACCUGUGGCUGGGGGUGAAAGGCCAAUCAAACCGGGAGAUAGCUGGUUCUCCCCGAAAGCUAUUUAGGUAGCGCCUCGUGAAUUCAUCUCCGGGGGUAGAGCACUGUUUCGGCUAGGGGGCCAUCCCGGCUUACCAACCCGAUGCAAACUGCGAAUACCGGAGAAUGUUAUCACGGGAGACACACGGCGGGUGCUAACGUCCGUCGUGAAGAGGGAAACAACCCAGACCGCCAGCUAAGGUCCCAAAGUCAUGGUUAAGUGGGAAACGAUGUGGGAAGGCCCAGACAGCCAGGAUGUUGGCUUAGAAGCAGCCAUCAUUUAAAGAAAGCGUAAUAGCUCACUGGUCGAGUCGGCCUGCGCGGAAGAUGUAACGGGGCUAAACCAUGCACCGAAGCUGCGGCAGCGAACGUAUCACCCAAGACAACUUUACGGAGUUGACGAUUGACGGAGCGAAGCGACGUCAAAGCGUUCAUUAAAGUCGAGUUGGCUUAGGGAUACGUUCGUUGGGUAGGGGAGCGUUCUGUAAGCCUGUGAAGGUGUGUCGUGAGGCAUGCUGGAGGUAUCAGAAGUGCGAAUGCUGACAUAAGUAACGAUAAAGCGGGUGAAAAGCCCGCUCGCCGGAAGACCAAGGGUUCCUGUCCAACGUUAAUCGGGGCAGGGUGAGUCGACCCCUAAGGCGAGGCCGAAAGGCGUAGUCGAUGGGAAACGGGUUAAUAUUCCCGUACUUGGUGUUACUGCGAAGGGGGGACGGAGAAGGCUAUGUUGGCCGGGCGACGGUUGUCCCGGUUUAAGCGUGUAGGUGUGUGUUCCAGGUAAAUCCGGUUCACUUUAACACUGAGGCGUGACGACGAGGCACUACGGUGCUGAAGCAACAAAUGCCCUGCUUCCAGGAAAAGCCUCUAAGCAUCAGGUAACAYSAAAUCGUACCCCAAACCGACACAGGUGGUCAGGUAGAGAAUACCAAGGCGCUUGAGAGAACUCGGGUGAAGGAACUAGGCAAAAUGGUGCCGUAACUUCGGGAGAAGGCACGCUGACACGUAGGUGAAGUGAUUUACUCAUGGAGCUGAAGUCAGUCGAAGAUACCAGCUGGCUGCAACUGUUUAUUAAAAACACAGCACUGUGCAAACACGAAAGUGGACGUAUACGGUGUGACGCCUGCCCGGUGCCGGAAGGUUAAUUGAUGGGGUCAGCGCAAGCGAAGCUCCUGAUCGAAGCCCCGGUAAACGGCGGCCGUAACUAUAACGGUCCUAAGGUAGCGAAAUUCCUUGUCGGGUAAGUUCCGACCUGCACGAAUGGCGUAAUGAUGGCCAGGCUGUCUCCACCCGAGACUCAGUGAAAUUGAACUCGCUGUGAAGAUGCAGUGUACCCGCGGCAAGACGGAAAGACCCCGUGAACCUUUACUAUAGCUUGACACUGAACAUUGAGCCUUGAUGUGUAGGAUAGGUGGGAGGCUUUGAAGUGUGGACGCCAGUCUGCAUGGAGCCGACCUUGAAAUACCACCCUUUAAUGUUUGAUGUUCUAACGUGGACCCGUWAYCCGGGUUGCGGACAGUGUCUGGUGGGUAGUUUGACUGGGGCGGUCUCCUCCUAAAGAGUAACGGAGGAGCACGAAGGUUGGCUAAUCCUGGUCGGACAUCAGGAGGUUAGUGCAAUGGCAUAAGCCAGCUUGACUGCGAGCGUGACGGCGCGAGCAGGUGCGAAAGCAGGUCAUAGUGAUCCGGUGGUUCUGAAUGGAAGGGCCAUCGCUCAACGGAUAAAAGGUACUCCGGGGAUAACAGGCUGAUACCGCCCAAGAGUUCAUAUCGACGGCGGUGUUUGGCACCUCGAUGUCGGCUCAUCACAUCCUGGGGCUGAAGUAGGUCCCAAGGGUAUGGCUGUUCGCCAUUUAAAGUGGUACGCGAGCUGGGUUUAGAACGUCGUGAGACAGUUCGGUCCCUAUCUGCCGUGGGCGCUGGUUCUCCCUGAGACUUAGAGUCUCCUGAAGGAACGUUGAAGACGACGACGUUGAUAGGCCGGGUGUGUAAGCGCAGCGAUGCGUUGAGCUAACCGGUACUAAUGAACCGUGAGGCUUAACCUU
rnacentral:rRNA from 1 species